rnacentral:rRNA from 1 species
GCCCAGCUAUAAACUUUGAUUUAUCCGCCAGAGUACUACGAGCAACAGCUUAAAACUCAAAGGACUUGGCGGUGCUCUACACCCCCCUAGAGGAGCCUGUUCUAUAAUCGAUAAUCCACGAUAACCUCACCAUUUUUUGCUAAUCCAGCCUAUAUACCACCGUCCAGCCCACCCUUUAAAGGAAUAACAGUAGGCUCAACUAUAAACAUAAAAACGUCAGGUCAAGGUGUAGCAGAUAAAAUGGAAAGAAAUGGGCUACAUUUUCUAAUAUAGAAAAAUACGGAAAAGUUUGUGAAAAAAAACUAUAAAGGAGGAUUUAGUAGUAAAAAGAAAAAAGAAUGUUCUUUUUAAACCGGCAAUGGAGCGCGC